UACGUAGGUGGCAAGCGUUGUCCGGAUUUAUUGGGUUUAAAGGGUGCGUAGGCGGUCUAUUAAGUCAGCGGUGAAAUACUCCAGCUUAACUGGAGGGGUGCCAUUGAUACUGAUGGACUUGAGUCAAGUCGAGGUAGGCGGAAUUGACGGUGUAGCGGUGAAAUGCUUAGAUAUCGUCAAGAACACCAAUAGUGAAGACAGCUUACUGGGCUUAAACUGACGCUGAGGCACGAAGGCCAGGGGAGCAAACGGG
rnacentral:rRNA from 1 species